rnacentral:rRNA from 1 species
UACGUAGGGUGCAAGCGUUGUCCGGAAUUAUUGGGCGUAAAGGGCUCGUAGGCGGUCUGUCGCGUCUGCUGUGAAAACUCAGGGCUUAACCCCGAGCUUGCAGUGGGUACGGGCAGACUAGAGUGCGGUAGGGGAGACUGGAAUUCCUGGUGUAGCGGUGAAAUGCGCAGAUAUCAGGAGGAACACCGGUGGCGAAGGCGGGUCUCUGGGCCGUAACUGACGCUGAGGAGCGAAAGCAUGGGGAGCGAACAGG